UGGCUCAGAGUGAACGCUGGCGGCAGGCCUAACACAUGCAAGUCGAACGGCAGCGGGUAGGAAGCUUGCUUCCUAUGCCGGCGAGUGGCGGACGGGUGAGGAACACAUCGGAAUCUACUCCGUCGUGGGGGAUAACGUAGGGAAACUUACGCUAAUACCGCAUACGACCUAAGGGUGAAAGUGGGGGACCGCAAGGCCUCACGCGAUGGAAUGAGCCGAUGUCCGAUUAGCUAGUUGGCGGGGUAAAGGCCCACCAAGGCGACGAUCGGUAGCUGGUCUGAGAGGAUGAUCAGCCACACUGGGACUGAGACACGGCCCAGACUCCUACGGGAGGCAGCAGUGGGGAAUAUUGGACAAUGGGCGAAAGCCUGAUCCAGCCAUGCCGCGUGGGUGAAGAAGGCCUUCGGGUUGUAAAGCCCUUUUGUUGGGGAAGAAAUCCUGCUGGCUAAUACCCGGCGGGGAUGACGGUACCCAAAGAAUAAGCACCGGCUAACUUCGUGCCAGCAGCCGCGGUAAUACGAAGGGUGCAAGCGUUACUCGGAAUUACUGGGCGUAAAGCGUGCGUAGGUGGUGGCUUAAGUCCGUUGUGAAAGCCCUGGGCUCAACCUGGGAAUUGCAGUGGAUACUGGGUCACUAGAGUGUGGUAGAGGGUGGCGGAAUUCCCGGUGUAGCAGUGAAAUGCGUAGAGAUCGGGAGGAACACCCGUGGCGAAGGCGGCCACCUGGGCCAACACUGACACUGAG
rnacentral:rRNA from 1 species